ACCUGAGUCUCCACCGGGCACAGCGCGCGGAGCACAACCGACAUACAGCGCUGAAACCCCGGCUACUGUCGCUCCCGUCAAACUCCACGUCCACCUGUCCGACGACAUUGCAAACCUCUCCUAAAUGGCAUUUGUGCGAUGUGGAUGCAGUGUGAGACCUUUCAGCGCCUGACGAGAGGAAGGGUUACCCUCAUGAAAAUGUCAUGCUAGACUGAUCAUUAAUCCUCCACUAUCUAAAAAAGACGCUUGCUGACUUCAGCCAAUGUGGAGAAGAC
rnacentral:lncRNA from 1 species